rnacentral:rRNA from 1 species
AUUGAACGCUGGCGGCAGGCCUAACACAUGCAAGUCGAGCGGAUGAAGGGAGCUUGCUCCUGGAUUCAGCGGCGGACGGGUGAGUAAUGCCUAGGAAUCUGCCUGGUAGUGGGGGAUAACGUCCGGAAACGGGCGCUAAUACCGCAUACGUCCUGAGGGAGAAAGUGGGGGAUCUUCGGACCUCACGCUAUCAGAUGAGCCUAGGUCGGAUUAGCUAGUUGGUGGGGUAAAGGCCUACCAAGGCGACGAUCCGUAACUGGUCUGAGAGGAUGAUCAGUCACACUGGAACUGAGAAACGGUCCAGACUCCUACGGGAGGCAGCAGUGGGGAAUAUUGGACAAUGGGCGAAAGCCUGAUCCAGCCAUGCCGCGUGUGUGAAGAAGGUCUUCGGAUUGUAAAGCACUUUAAGUUGGGAGGAAGGGCAGUAAGUUAAUACCUUGCUGUUUUGACGUUACCAACAGAAUAAGCACCGGCUAACUUCGU